AUUGAACGCUGGCGGCAGGCUUAACACAUGCAAGUCGAACGGAGAUGAGGUGCUUGCACCUUAUCUUAGCGGCGGACGGGUGAGUUAUGCUUAGGAAUCUGCCUAUUAGUGGAGGACAACAUUCCGAAAGGAAUGCUAAUACCGCAUACGUCCUACGGGAGAAAGCAGGGGAUCUUCGGACCUUGCGCUAAUAGAUGAGCCUAAGUCGGAUUAGCUAGUUGGUGGGGUAAAGGCCUACCAAGGCGACGAUCUGUAGCGGGUCUGAGAGGAUGAUCCGGCACACUGGGACUGAGACACGGCCCAGACUCCUACGGGAGGCAGCAGUGGGGAAUAUUGGACAAUGGGGGGAACCCAUUAUCCAGCCAUGCCGCGUGUGUGAAGAAGGCCUUAUGGUUGUAAAGCACUUUAAGCGAGGAGGAGGCUACUGAGACUAAUACUCUUGGAUAGUGGACGUUACUCGCAGAAUAAGCACCGGCUAACUCUGUGCCAGCCGCCGCAGUAAUAC
rnacentral:rRNA from 1 species